GACGAACGCUGGCGGCGUGCUUAACACAUGCAAGUCGAACGGAAAGGCCCAGCUUUUGUGGGGUGCUCGAGUGGCGAACGGGUGAGUAACACGUGAGUAACCUGCCCUUGACUUUGGGAUAACUUCAGGAAACUGGGGCUAAUACCGGAUAGGAGCUCCUGCUGCAUGGUGGGGGUUGGAAAGUUUCGGCGGUUGGGGAUAGACUCGCGGCUUAUCAGCUUGUUGGUGGGGUAGUGGCUUACCAAGGCUUUGACGGGUAGCCGGCCUGAGAGGGUGACCGGCCACAUUGGGACUGAGAUACGGCCCAGACUCCUACGGGAGGCAGCAGUGGGGAAUAUUGCACAAUGGGCGGAAGCCUGAUGCAGCAACGCCGCGUGCGGGAUGACGGCCUUCGGGUUGUAAACCGCUUUCGCCUGUGACGAAGCGUGAGUGACGGUAAUGGGUAAAGAAGCACCGGCUAACUACGUG
rnacentral:rRNA from 1 species